GACAGAGGGUGCAAACGUUGUUCGGAAUUACUGGGCGUAAAGCGUGUGUAGGUGGCUGCGUAAGUCGGAUGUGAAAGCCCUGGGCUCAACUCAGGAAGUGCACUCGAUACUGCGUAGCUCGAGUACCGGAGAGGUUGGUGGAAUUCUCGGUGUAGAGGUGAAAUUCGUAGAUAUCGAGAGGAACACCUGUGGCGAAGGCGGCCAACUGGACAGUUCCUGACGCUGAGGCACGAAGGCCAGGGGAGCAAACGGG
rnacentral:rRNA from 1 species